GCCCUCAAGAGAUACAUAGGCCAAAGGAAAGUUCAGAGGAUGCUCGGAUUCAUAUUUAGUCACAUCUUAUAAUGAAACAAACUGUCUCUAGAACAUAUGCAUCUGAGCACUCCAGUACUCCAGUAUCCAAGGAAGGUGAACCAACCCAGGAGUCCUGUAAAUAGCCAUCCUUUCAAGUCAGCACGUAAAGUUGGAGGUGCAGCUUCAGAAGAAGGCUAGAUCUGCCUUUACCCAGAACAGUGAGUGACCUUUGAUAAAAAUGAAGAAAUAAUGACUAGAGAAAAUAUUGUCUCAAUUGUAUCAGAUUAACCAAAGCCGUUAACGUCAGAGCUUGAUGGAACAAUCACCUAUCAUUUUAAACAAAAUCAUCAGGCUGAGUUUGACAAGAGCCAGGAUUUACCACCUCUGACGUAGGACACAGGACCCCCCGAGGGAUUUUACAAGCCAUUCUGAGGAAAAUUUUGGGUCUUGUGCUCAAGGAAAUGGCUUCUUCAAGGAUUGCACAAGAUAAAUUAUACCCUCAGUUCUUUGCUUUACAUGGACAAGAGCUUUGACCUCCAAAACUGGUGAUGACGCAACCCUGCAGGGGCUUCCUUGAUGCUCCUGGGAACAGGAAACACGUGGCUCCUCGAGAGCAGAACUUUCCUGCUUUGCUCCCUUCUGGAUUCGCAACACUAACAUCAUACUUGAUAACUGGUAGGCACUCAGGAAGUGUUUCCAUAAGACCUGGAAGACAAGACAUAAUGUGGGACACAAAGGCAGACGAAGACUUAUUGCUCA
rnacentral:lncRNA from 1 species